rnacentral:rRNA from 1 species
AGAGUUUGAUCCUGGCUCAGGACGAACGCUGGCGGCGUGCCUAAUACAUGCAAGUCGAACGCUUCUUUUUCCACCGGAGCUUGCUCCACCGGAAAAAGAGGAGUGGCGAACGGGUGAGUAACACGUGGGUAACCUGCCCAUCAGAAGGGGAUAACACUUGGAAACAGGUGCUAAUACCGUAUAACAAUCNNNNNNNNNNNNNNNNNNNNNNNNNNNNNNNNNNNNNNNNNNNNNNNNNNNGGUUUUGAUUUGAAAGGCGCUUUCGGGUGUCGCUGAUGGAUGGACCCGCGGUGCAUUAGCUAGUUGGUGAGGUAACGGCUCACCAAGGCCACGAUGCAUAGCCGACCUGAGAGGGUGAUCGGCCACAUUGGGACUGAGACACGGCCCAAACUCCUACGGGAGGCAGCAGUAGGGAAUCUUCGGCAAUGGACGAAAGUCUGACCGAGCAACGCCGCGUGAGUGAAGAAGGUUUUCGGAUCGUAAAACUCUGUUGUUAGAGAAGAACAAGGAUGAGAGUAACUGUUCAUCCCUUGACGGUAUCUAACCAGAAAGCCACGGCUAACUACGUGCCAGCAGCCGCGGUAAUACGUAGGUGGCAAGCGUUGUCCGGAUUUAUUGGGCGUAAAGCGAGCGCAGGCGGUUUCUUAAGUCUGAUGUGAAAGCCCCCGGCUCAACCGGGGAGGGUCAUUGGAAACUGGGAGACUUGAGUGCAGAAGAGGAGAGUGGAAUUCCAUGUGUAGCGGUGAAAUGCGUAGAUAUAUGGAGGAACACCAGUGGCGAAGGCGGCUCUCUGGUCUGUAACUGACGCUGAGGCUCGAAAGCGUGGGGAGCAAACAGGAUUAGAUACCCUGGUAGUCCACGCCGUAAACGAUGAGUGCUAAGUGUUGGAGGGUUUCCGCCCUUCAGUGCUGCAGCUAACGCAUUAAGCACUCCGCCUGGGGAGUACGACCGCAAGGUUGAAACUCAAAGGAAUUGACGGGGGCCCGCACAAGCGGUGGAGCAUGUGGUUUAAUUCGAAGCAACGCGAAGAACCUUACCAGGUCUUGACAUCCUUUGACCACUCUAGAGAUAGAGCUUCCCCUUCGGGGG